rnacentral:tRNA from 1 species
GUGCUUGUGGUGUAGUGGUUAUCACAUCCGCUUAACACGCGGGAGGCCCCAGGUUCGAUCCCUGGCAGGCACA